rnacentral:rRNA from 1 species
CUUUCUUCGCUGGCGACCGGCGCACGGGUGAGUAACACGUAUCCAACCUGCCCUUUACUCGGGGAUAGCCUUUCGAAAGAAAGAUUAAUACCCGAUAGUAUAAUGAUUCCGCAUGGUUUCAUUAUUAAAGGAUUCCGGUAAAGGAUGGGGAUGCGUUCCAUUAGGUUGUUGGUGAGGUAACGGCUCACCAAGCCUUCGAUGGAUAGGGGUUCUGAGAGGAAGGUCCCCCGCAUUGGAACUGAGACACGGUCCAA